rnacentral:rRNA from 1 species
UACGUAGGGGGCUAGCGUUGUCCGGAAUCAUUGGGCGUAAAGCGCGCGUAGGCGGCCCUGUUAGUCCGCUGUAAAAGUCAAAGGCUCAACCUUUGAAUGCCGGUGGAUACUGCAGGGCUAGAGUCCGGAAGAGGCGAGUGGAACUCCUGGUGUAGCGGUGGAAUGCGCAGAUAUCAGGAGGAACACCAAUAGCGAAGGCAGCUCGCUGGGACGUUACUGACGCUGAGACGCGAAAGCGUGGGGAGCGAACAGG